GCUAGACGGCGGGGUAACGGCCCACCGUGGCGACGAUGCGUAGGGGUUCUGAGAGGAAGGUCCCCCACACUGGUACUAAGACACGGACCAGACUCCUACGGGAGGCAGCAGUGAGGAAUAUUGGUCAAUGGGAGAGAUCCUGAACCAGCCAAGCCGCGUGAGGGAAGACGGCCCUAUGGGUUGUAAACCUCUUUUGUCGGAGAACAAAACCCGGGACGAGUCCCGGACUGCGUGUAUCCGAAGAAAAAGCAUCGGCUAACUCCGUGCCAGCAGCCGCGGUAAUACGGAGGAUGCGAGCGUUAUCCGGAUUUAUUGGGUUUAAAGGGUGCGUAGGCGGUCUGUUAAGUCAGCGGUAAAAUUGCGGGGCUCAACCCCGUCGAGCCGUUGAAACUGGCAGACUUGAGUUGGCGAGAAGUACGCGGAAUGCGCGGUGUAGCGGUGAAAUGCAUAGAUAUCGCGCAGAACUCCGAUUGCGAAGGCAGCGUACCGGCGCCACACUGACGCUGAGGCACGAAAGCGUGGGGAUCGAACAGGAUUAGAUACCCUGGUAGUCCACGCAGUAAACGAUGAAUGCUGGUUGUCCGGGUCGAAUGAGAUCUGG
rnacentral:rRNA from 1 species